rnacentral:rRNA from 1 species
CAGUCGCCACGGGAAUACAGAGGGUGCGAGCGUUAAUCGGAUUUACUGGGCGUAAAGCGUGCGUAGGCGGCUAAUUGAGUCGGAUGUGAAAUCCCCGAGCUUAACUUGGGAAUUGCAUUCGAUACUGGUUAGCUAGAGUAUGGGAGAGGAUGGUAGAAUUCCAGGUGUAGCGGUGAAAUGCGUAGAGAUCUGGAGGAAUACCGAUGGCGAAGGCAGCCAUCUGGCCUAAUACUGACGCUGAGGUACGAAAGCAUGGGGAGCAAACAGGAUUAGAUACCCGCGUAGUACCUGUCUCUUAUAA